UGGGGGAUAUUGCACAAUGGGCGAAAGCCUGAUGCAGCGACGCCGCGUGGGGGAUGAAGGCUUUCGGGUUGUAAACCUCUUUCGCUAUCGAACAAGGCCCGCUUAGGGUGGGUUGAGGGUAGGUGGAGAAGAAGCGCCGGCUAACUACGUGCCAGCAGCCGCGGUAAUACGUAGGGCGCGAGCGUUGUCCGGAAUUAUUGGGCGUAAAGGGCUUGUAGGCGGCUUGUUGCGCCUGCUGUGAAAACGCGGGGCUUAACUUCGCGCAUGCAGUGGGUACGGGCAGGCUUGAGUGUGGUAGGGGUGACUGGAAUUCCAGGUGUAGCGGUGGAAUGCGCAGAUAUCUGGAGGAACACCGAUGGCGAAGGCAGGUCACUGGGACAUUACUGACGCUGAGGAGCGAAAGCAUGGGUAGCGAACAGG
rnacentral:rRNA from 1 species